rnacentral:rRNA from 1 species
UUAUCCGCUAGACGCGUGACAUUAGCUAGAUGGCGGGGUAACGGCCCACCAUGGCGACGAUGUCUAGGGGUUCUGAGAGGAAGGUCCCCCACACUGGAACUGAGACACGGUCCAGACUCCUACGGGAGGCAGCAGUGAGGAAUAUUGGUCAAUGGUCUGACGACUGAACCAGCCAUGCCGCGUGAAGGUCACGGCCCUAUGGGUCUUAAACUUCUUUUGUAAGGGAGCAAUAAGGUCUACGUGUAGAUUGAUGAGAGUACCUUACGAAUAAGCAUCGGCUAACUCCGUGCCAGCAGCCGCGGUAAUACGGGGGAUGCAAGCGUUAUCCGGAUUUAUUGGGUUUAAAGGGUGCGUAGGCGGCAUUGUAAGUCAGCGGUGAAAUUUCGGAGCUCAACUUCGAACGUGCCGUUGAUACUGCAGUGCUUGAAUGCGGAUGCCGUGGGAGGAAUGUGUGGUGUAGCGGUGAAAUGCAUAGAUAUCACACAGAACACCGAUUGCGAAGGCAUCUCACGAAUCCGCUAUUGACGCUGAGGCACGAAAGCGUGGGGAUCAAACAGGAUUAGAUACCCUGGUAGUCCACGCUGUAAACGAUGAUGACUAACCGUCGGCGAUACACUGUCGGUGGCCAAGCGAAAGCGAUAAGUCAUCCACCUGGGGAGUACGACCGCAAGGUUGAAACUCAAAGGAAUUGACGGGGGCCCGCACAAGCGGAGGAACAUGUGGUUUAAUUCGAUGAUACGCGAGGAACCUUACCCGGGCUCGAACGGCAGGGGAAUUAACCAGAGAUGGUUAAGUCUUCGGACUCCUGUCGAGGUGCUGCAUGGUUGUCGUCAGCUCGUGCUGUGAAGUGUCGGCUUAAGUGCCAUAACGAGCGCAACCCUUGCCAUUAGUUGCCAUCAGGUUAUGCUGGGGACUCUAGUGGGACUGCCACCGCAAGGUGUGAGGAAGGGGGGGAUGACGUCAAAUCAGCACGGCCCUUACGUCCGGGGCGACACACGUGUUACAAUGGUGGGUACAGAGGGAAGCUACCUGGCGACAGGAUGCAGAUCUCGAAAACCCAUCCCAGUUCGG